GGUGAAGGAGAAUGAACGACUAUGAGGUUAUGGGUGGGUGUUUGAGGAAUGAUAAAAUGGAAAGAAAAAAAAGAGGAAAUGGAAAGAAGAAGAAGAAGAAGAAGAAAGGAGAAAAAAUUAUGAGAGAGGAGUAUGAUCUUCUGAACAUUUUUUUUACGUUUUCAAACUUCCAUAAAUACAUUUAUGAUAAUGAGUGUCGCAUGCGUUGGAUUG
rnacentral:lncRNA from 1 species